rnacentral:SRP_RNA from 1 species
GCUGGGUGUGGUGAUACAUGUCUGUAAUCUCAGUUAUUAAGGAGGAUGAAGCUGGUGAAUUAAUUGCUUGAGCUCAGGAGUUCUGAGGUGCAGUGGGCCAAAGCCACUAGGAUACCCCCAGUAAGUGUAGCACAGAUAUGAUGAACUUCCAGCAGUGAGGCAGGGAAGUAAGUACCAGGCUGCUCAAGGUGGGGUGAACUGGUCCAGGUCAGAAAUGGAGCAGGGCAGAACUUAUAUGCAGAGCAGCAUUAGGAUGGGGGCAGGGGAGUGGCUACUGUAUUUACAGCCUGAACUAGACAGGGAUCCAGUCUCAA